GACGAACACUGGCGCCCCUGCCUAAUACCUGAUAGGCGAGCGAACACAACACGAACUUGCUCCUGUGAAGUUAGCGACCCACGGCCGAACAAAAACCGGGUAACCUACCUAUAAUACUGGAAUAACGCCCGGAAACCGGGGCUAAUGCCGGAUAACAUUGAGAACCGCCCGGUACUAAAGGGAAAGAAGGACUUGCUAUCACCCACACAUGGACCCGAGCCGAAUUAGCUAGUCGGCAAGGAAACGGCUUACCAACGCGACGAUACCUAUCCAACCUGGAUAGGGCGCAUCGGCGCACACUGAGAACCUGACGACACCGGGCACACACAUCCUAACGGACAGGCCAUCGCACAAGGCAAUCUAUCCGCAAUGGGACGAAAGCCUGACCGACCCACACCGCGCGAGAGACGAAGGUCUUCCGAUCGAAGAACUCCGCUAUGAAGCAAAAACAAAUGUGUGAGCAACUAUGCGCGUCUUGACCGGACCUAAUCAUAAAGCCACAGCCAAGUACGCGCCAUCAGCCGCGGGAAUACGUAAGUGGCAAGCGACAUCCCGAAUUACUGGGAGUAAAGCGCGCGCAUGCGGCCUCUCAAGUCCGAUGUGAACACCCACGGCUCAUCCGCGGAGGGUCAUUGGAAACUGGGAAACUUGAGUGCAGAUUAGGAAAGUGGAAUUCCAUGUGUAGCGGUGAAAUGCGCAGAGAUAUGGAGGAACACCAGUGGCGAAGGCGACUUUCUGGUCUGUAACUGACGCUGAUGUGCGAAAGCGUGGGGAUCAAACAGGAUUAGAUACCCUGGUAGUCCACGCCGUAAACGAUGAGUGCUAAGUGUUAGGGGGUUUCCGCCUCUUAGUGCUGCAGCUAACGCAUUAAGCACUCCGCCUGGGGAGUACGACCGCAAGGUUGAAACUCAAAGGAAUUGACGGGGACCCGCACAAGCGGUGGAGCAUGUGGUUUAAUUCGAAGCAACGCGAAGAACCUUACCAAAUCUUGACAUCCUUUGACAACUCUAGAGAUAGAGCCUUCCCCUUCGGGGGACAAAGUGACAGGUGGUGCAUGGUUGUCGUCAGCUCGUGUCGUGAGAUGUUGGGUUAAGUCCCGCAACGAGCGCAACCCUUAAACUUAGUUGCCAGCAUUUAGUUGGGCACUCUAAGUUGACUGCCGGUGACAAACCGGAGGAAGGUGGGGAUGACGUCAAAUCAUCAUGCCCCUUAUGAUUUGGGCUACACACGUGCUACAAUGGACAAUACAAAGGGCAGCUAAACCGCGAGGUCAUGCAAAUCCCAUAAAGUUGUUCUCAGUUCGGAUUGUAGUCUGCAACUCGACUACAUGAAGCUGGAAUCGCUAGUAAUCGUAGAUCAGCAUGCUACGGUGAAUACGUUCCCGGGUCU
rnacentral:rRNA from 1 species